rnacentral:rRNA from 1 species
UACGUAGGGUGCGAGCGUUUGUCCGGAAUUAUUGGGCGUAAAGGGCUCGUAGGCGGUCUGUCACGUCGGGAGUGAAAACUCAGGGCUUAACCCUGAGCCUGCUUCCGAUACGGGCAGACUAGAGGUAUGCAGGGGAGAACGGAAUUCCUGGUGUAGCGGUGAAAUGCGCAGAUAUCAGGAGGAACACCGGUGGCGAAGGCGGGUCUCUGGGCCGAUAUUGACGCUGAGGAGCGAAAGCGUGGGGAGCAAACAGG